GAAUUACGUAUAUCUCUUUUAAUAAAUGGAGGGAUUUGAUUCACACCCGGCAAUGAGGGGCUACACCCAAGUAAGCAGUGCAGGGCUCUGUUGUCAUUCCUUCGCACGAGGGCUUGGACUAACCUGGAAAUCGAUUCCUCUGUAUCGACAAUACCGUGACUUGGGGAACACGUAAUCGAACACCGAACCAAAGAACUUACAAGCCAGCUACACGGUGACGUCCUUCAGACUAGGACACUGCGGACAUGUCCGAGAGCCGUGCCAAAUCUUAGCAGGGAAGCACUGAUCCGUGCUGCCAAGCCGUACAGCUCCUGUGCCGGAUUCGACCAGAGGAAGUUCCAAGUUAUUGGAAGGAUAAACCGAAAUUGCGACCCUGAAAUGGGUAAGCGGCCAUGGAAGAUGGAUGGAUGGAUGGAUGGAUCAACGGACGUUAUGCGAUCUGUGGCACCCAGGAGAAGAAGCAGCUGACGUUUUGAACUCCAGAUGUUCAUGCAUGGUGUGUUGCUGGUGAAGUGUGUCAGUAGGGCUUACAUCCCAAGCCUGAUCUACCUCUGCCGUAUGGAGUGGGUUUACUGGACCGUCCUUCCUGGGGAGUCCAUCUACGGCCGAAGAAGAUAUCCGAUGCGACCUCUAUGGGGAAUAAGCAAAGCGGAACACCGCCUCAUUCAUUCCUGCCGAAAGAGGGAGGAUUUCUCUUUAAAUGCUGGACAACUCUUCUUUUUUAGCCCGUCACAUGACCCCAGUCACCCUCUACCCACCUCCGGCGGCUCCUGGACCAAAACAGG